rnacentral:rRNA from 1 species
CGUGUAGGCGGCCAAGCAAGUCGGACGUGAAAGCCCACGGCUCAACCGUGGAAGAGCGCUCGAAACUGCAUGGCUGGAGUCCUGGAGAGGAAGGUGGAAUGCUUGGUGUAGAGGUGAAAUUCGUAGAUAUCAAGCGGAACACCGGUGGCGAAGGCGGCCUUCUGGACAGUGACUGACGCUGAGACGCGAAAGCGUGGGGAGCAAACA